CCUCCAGAUGUUUUCGGACUACAAUUCCCAUCAUCCCGGACCGCUGGCCCUGUUACCUAGGGAUGAUGGGAGUUGUAGUCCCAAAACACCUGGAGG